rnacentral:rRNA from 1 species
UACCUUGUAGAUUGGGAUAACUCCGGGAAACCGGGGCUAAUACCGAAUAAUCCAUUUUGCUUUCAUGGCGAGAUGUUGAAAGACGGUUUCGGCUGUCACUAUAAGAUGGGCCCGCGGCGCAUUAGCUAGUUGGUAGGGUAAUGGCCUACCAAGGCGACGAUGCGUAGCCGACCUGAGAGGGUGAUCGGCCACACUGGGACUGAGACACGGCCCAGACUCCUACGGGAGGCAGCAGUGGGGAAUCUUCCACAAUGGACGAAAGUCUGAUGGAGCAACGCCGCGUGAGUGAAGAAGGUUUUCGGAUCGUAAAACUCUGUUGUAAGGGAAGAACACGUACGAGAGUAACUGCUCGUACCUUGACGGUACCUUAUUAGAAAGCCACGGCUAACUACGUG